rnacentral:rRNA from 1 species
GAUGAACGCUGGCGGCGUGCCUAAUACAUGCAAGUCGAGCGAACAGACGAGGAGCUUGCUCCUCUGACGUUAGCGGCGGACGGGUGAGUAACACGUGGAUAACCUACCUAUAAGACUGGGAUAACUUCGGGAAACCGGAGCUAAUACCGGAUAAUAUAUUGAACCGCAUGGUUCAAUAGUGAAAGACGGUUUUGCUGUCACUUAUAGAUGGAUCCGCGCCGCAUUAGCUAGUUGGUAAGGUAACGGCUUACCAAGGCGACGAUGCGUAGCCGACCUGAGAGGGUGAUCGGCCACACUGGAACUGAGACACGGUCCAGACUCCUACGGGAGGCAGCAGUAGGGAAUAUUCCGCAAUGGGCGAAAGCCUGACGGAGCAACGCCGCGUGAGUGAUGAAGGUCUUCGGAUCGUAAAACUCUCUUAUUAGGGAAGAACAAAUGUGUAAGUAACUAUGCACGUCUUGACGGUACCUAAUCAGAAAGCCACGGCUAACUACGUG